GACGAACCGUACAAACGUUAUUCGGAAUCACUGGGCUUAAAGGGUGCGUAGGCGGCGCAGAAAGUUGGGUGUGAAAUCCCUCGGCUUAACCGAGGAACUGCGCCCAAAACUACUGUGCUCGAGGGAGGUAGAGGUGAGCGGAACUUAGGGUGGAGCGGUGAAAUGCGUUGAUAUCCUAAGGAACACCGGUGGCGAAAGCGGCUCACUGGACCUCUUCUGACGCUGAGGUGCGAAAGCGUGGGGAGCAAACAGG
rnacentral:rRNA from 1 species